UAUGGCCAUAUCACAUUGAAACAUUGGUUCACAUAUGAUCAACAAAGUUAAGCGAUGGUGAUCCUGUUUGGUACCUAGAUGGGUGACCUCUAGGGAAUAUCUGGUGCUGU